rnacentral:lncRNA from 1 species
AGUGUAGUAGGCGGGAUCAAAGUUUAAUGGGUAAAAUUUUAUAAUUUUAUUUUUUUAUAUAUAUCUAAUUUAAUCCAUUUAAUUUAUUGCUUGUUGACCCGCUCGUGAGCUAGCUCAUGUUCAACUCGGAACACGAGUUGAAUUUUUUGGCUCGAUACUUUAACAAACCAACUCAUGAUUAAAUGAGCCGAACACGGGCCGGCCCUAGCCCGCUCGUGUUUGGCUCGUUGACACCCUUACCCUUAUUAAUAUAAUUCCAAUCCCAUAUGUACUAACAAUAUCAUUCAUUCAACUUUUAUAGGUCUAAAUCACAGCCGUAUAAUUUUUAUUUUAUUUUCAAAUUAUCAAAAAAUGUAUUAAUUCUUAGUCAUUGGAUCUAAUUCAAUGGCUGACGAAUUAAAUAUUUAUGAUUUUCUUUAACUAAAUUAUGCUUAGGCAGUAGUAUCAAAUCCGACCAUUUCUGUACGUACCCUAUCUUCUUACAUAAUAUCCAUAUUAUAUUUUAUCUAAUAAUAAUUAUCUUUACACUUCAUACUUUUCUAUACUAUAUUAUAUAAAAGCAGAUAAAAGUUCUUAUAAUGACAUACGGAAUUAAAAAAAAUGAAUAAAUAAAAUUUCUAGUCAAUGGUACAUUAUGAUUAAUUUGUUAAAAAAAUAUCUCAAAUAAAAAUAAAUGGU